CAUAUAGAGGGAGGCUGCCCCCCCCCACAGAGAGACAGUCAUAUAGAGGAGGGAGGGAGGCUGCCCCCCCCACAGAGAGAGUCAUAUAGAGGAGGGAGGGAGGCUGCCCCCCCCACAGAGAGAGUCAUAUAGAGGAGGGAGGCUGUCCCCCCACAGAGAGACAGUCAUAUAGAGGAGGGAGGCUGUCCCCCACAGGACCCAUACAGGCAGCACUAUAGGCCUCAGACAGGGCCAGUCAUCAGUCAGUGCUGCUGGACCUCCCUGUGACUCGAACCUGCAGACAGAGGUUCAGACAGGCAGACAGACAGGAAGCAUCUCUAGACUAUUGACAUGGAGAGGGAGUGAGGAGGAGGAAGCAUCUCUAGACUAUUGACAUGGAGAGGGAGUGAGGAGGAGGAAGCAUCUCUAGACUAUUGACAUGGAGAGGGAGUGAGGAGGAGGAAGCAUCUCUAGACUAUUGACAUGGAGAGGGAGUGAGGAGGAGGAAGCAUCUCUAGACUAUUGACAUGGAGAGGGAGUAUCUCUAGACUAUUGACAUGGAGUGGGAGUAUCUCUAGACUAUUGACAUGGAGAGGGAGUAUCUCUAGACUAUUGACAUGGAGAGGGAGUAUCUCUAGACUAUUGACAUGGAGAGGGAGUAUCUCUAGACUAUUGACAUGGAGAGGGAGUGAGGAGGAGGAAGUAUCUCUAGACUAUUGACAUGGAGAGGGAGUAUCUCUAGACUAUUGACAUGGAGUGGGAGUAUCUCUAGACUAUUGACAUGGAGAGGGAGUGAGGAGGAGGAAGCAUCUCUAGACUAUUGACAUGGAGAGGGAGUGAGGAGGAGGAAGCAUCUCUAGACUAUUGACAUGGAGAGGGAGUAUCUCUAGACUAUUGACAUGGAGUGGGAGUAUCUCUAGACUAUUGACAUGGAGAGGGAGUAUCUCUAGACUAUUGACAUGGAGAGGGAGUAUCUCUAGACUAUUGACAUGGAGAGGGAGUAUCUCUAGACUAUUGACAUGGAGAGGGAGUGAGGAGGAGGAAGUAUCUCUAGACUAUUGACAUGGAGAGGGAGUAUCUCUAGACUAUUGAGAUACAGUCGGUGUAAGGGGGCAGGGUGACAGAAAUGGACCAAACUGGUUUGGGAUGAAGUUGACCUUUUAGAACAAGGUUGUGUGUCUUGAGAGUGAAACCAGGCCUCAUCCAAGGCGUGGCCUUCCUUCACCCCUGACAGGAUGGGAUGGAAACCCUGUAUGUUCUCAGGUCUGUCCACUGGCCGUAGUUAUUCGUUGACUCCUGGCAGUGGAAGUGUGUGUUUAUUGUUGCAGGAACAAACCUGGUUUGAUCAUGUCAGUUGGCAUCACUCCUUUUGUUCGGGUCUUAGUUUGCCUUUUAGUCAAGAGGGGAAGGAAGAAAGCUAUUUGAUUUUGUCCAAAAAUAAAUGUAGCCCAGUCCUUUAAAAAUAAAAAAAUCCCAUAAAUAAAAGACCUAGUCUGUACUGAAAACCACAAAGUCCAACUUGAUGUCGUUUGUAGUUUUGGAACCACACCCUUCAUGACACCUGAGAAAUAAAGUGACUGUUAUUAAUGUUGACUUGAAAACGGAACAGAACCUGUCAGAACUGAGGAGCACAGGGCCUGUCCUUCCAGAACCUGUCAGCUACUUCAACAACACCAGGAACUGUCCUUCCAGAACCUGUCAGCUACUUCAACAACACCAGGAACUGAGGAGCACAGGGCCUGUCCUUCCAGAAACUUCAGACCCUGGGUCACAUCACUGAAUUUACCCCGUCUCUACAGACCCUGGGUCACAUCACUGAAUUCACCCCCGUCUCUACAGACCCUGGGUCACAUCACUGAAUUCACCCCCGUCUCUACAGACCCUGGGUCACAUCACUGAAUACACCCCGUCUCUACAGACCCUGGGUCACAUCACUGAAUUCACCCCGUCUCUACAGACCCUGGGUCGCAUCACUGAAUUCACCCCGUCUCUACAGACCCUGGGUCGCAUCACUGAAAUCACCCCGUCUCUACAGACCCUGGGUCGCAUCACUGAAUUCACCCCGUCUCUACAGACCCUGGGUCGCAUCACUGAAUUCACCCCGUCUCUACAGACCCUGGGUCGCAUCACUGAAUUCACCCCGUCUCUACAGACCCUGGGUCGCAUCACUGAAAUCACCCCGUCUCUACAGACCCUGGGUCACAUCACUGAAAUCACCCCGUCUCUACAGACCCUGGGUCACAUCACUGAAUUCACCCCGUCUCUACAGACCCUGGGUCGCAUCACUGAAUUCACCCCGUCUCUACAGACCCUGGGUCACAUCACUGAAAACACCCCGUCUCUACAGACCCUGGGUCGCAUCACUGAAAUCACCCCGUCUCUACAGACCCUGGGUCGCAUCACUGAAUUCACCCCCGUCUCUACAGACCCUGGGUCGCAUCACUGAAUUCACCCCGUCUCUACAGACCCUGGGUCGCAUCACUGAAUUCACCCCGUCUCUACAGACCCUGGGUCACAUCACUGAAUUCACCCCGUCUCUACAGACCCUGGGUCACAUCACUGAAUUCACCCCGUCUCUACAGACCCUGGGUCACAUCACUGAAUACACCCCGUCUCUACAGACCCUGGGUCACAUCACUGAAUUCACCCCGUCUACGAUUUUCUCUUUUCAUUUUUCUUUCUUGUUCAUUCCUUGGUAUCUGAUUGGUUGGCACGAGUUAAUGGAAAAAGGUGGCGAGGGUAACACUGGGUGUGGCGGUUCCAGCGCAUUGCGAAACUCAAUCGAGUCUUAUUGUUCUGAGAUGAAAGAGAUGAAACUAACUCCUGCUUGUUUCUCUCUGUGAUAAAGGAGACGACUCACAGAAACCUGAACGCUACAGAACUUGAGAAGAAUGGCGUGCUUGAGAGUGAGGAAUCACAUUUCAAAGUUAGACAAUAAAAUGUGCAGAAAAAGACUUGUGAUACUUGUCCUAGUUCUACCUGUGUUCCCUGUCUACCUGUGUUCCCUGUCUCUCUGUGUUUCUGUACAGCCGACAGUCAAACUGAAGAUGCAAACACGUCUGUGCUGAAAAUAAAGUUCCUUCAUAAAGAUA